rnacentral:misc_RNA from 1 species
GGCAUAUCCGAGUACGCGCUAGCACAAUGUCUCAACACUGUACAGCGUUCACGAAUUCCUUGUCCGCUUUGCCGUCACGAUUUUGUUGAUCUGCGUCUGCUCGUGCCGCGGCAGAUCGCGCAGAUAACACUCGACCGAUUCCACCACCAGGCGCCACUGCGGCUGCUUUCGCACCUUGCUCAGCGCGACCAGCUUGUCCCUGGACUGUUUUGGCAAGCGGAAGCUCACUUGCGGGUAGUCCUUGACGCGCUCGCCGCGAUCGCCGGCGGGCGGACGCCCAACCCUGUUCGAAGGCAUUCCACUUCUUGACCGCGUCG